UAAUCGGAAUUACUGGGCGUAAAGCGCAUGCAGACGGUUUGUUAAGUCAGAUGUGAAAGCCCGGGGCUCAACCUCGGAACCGCAUUUGAAACUGGCAGGCUAGAGUCUUGUAGAGGGGGGUAGAAUUUCAGGUGUAGCGGUGAAAUGCGUAGAGAUCUGAAGGAAUACCAGUGGCGAAGGCGGCCCCCUGGACAAAGACUGACGCUCAGAUGCGAAAGCGUGGGUAGCAAACAGGAUUAGAUACCCUGGUAGUCCACGCCGUAAACGCUGUCUACUUGGAGGUUGAGGUUUAAGACUUUGGCUUUCGGCGCUAACGCAUUAAGUAGACCGCCUGGGGAGUACGGCCGCAAGGUUAAAACUCAAAUGAAUUGACGGGGGCCCGCACAAGCGGUGGAGCAUGUGGUUUAAUUCGAUGCAACGCGAAGAACCUUACCUACUCUUGACAUCCAGAGAACUUUCCAGAGAUGGAUUGGUGCCUUCGGGAACUCUGAGACAGGUGCUGCAUGGCUGUCGUCAGCUCGUGUUGUGAAAUGUUGGGUUAAGUCCCGCAACGAGCGCAACCCUUAUCCUUGUUUGCCAGCACGUAAUGGUGGGAACUCCAGGGAGACUGCCGGUGAUAAACCGGAGGAAGGUGGGGACGACGUCAAGUCAUCAUGGCCCUUACGAGUAGGGCUACACACGUGCUACAAUGGCAGAUACAGAGGGCAGCGAAGCUGCGAAGUGGAGCGAAUCCCUUAAAGUCUGUCGUAGUCCGGAUUGGAGUCUGCAACUCGACUCCAUGAAGUCGGAAUCGCUAGU
rnacentral:rRNA from 1 species